CAUAACAUUUUCAAAGUUUUUUUUUGUCUUCAAGAAGGAAAAAAGGAGAAGUCACAAAUUGUGACUUCUUGAGAAGGAGAAGUCCUUCUGAGAAGGAGAAGUCAAAAAGCUUAGCCAAACAUGCCCUAAGCGAAUCGGAGGUUUACUUGGUUGAAAAUGAUGAAGAAUUUCUGACACAGAAACGUGGGUUUUUGUUGAUUAUACAGACAGAUGAACGAAUUUAUUCCAAGAACGGGAGAGAAAGGGAGAGAGAAAGAAUGGGGAGCCUGUACUUAUCACCUCACAACAAAACCAUCUACGUCGCCCUCACCGGCCGCCGCUCAGUAGCUCCUCCGUCACUCCUCCGUCGCCUGAAUCGUCAGACCAGGUAUAUAUACAUACAUGCAUGUUGCUUAUUUCGAAUACUGGAAACACAUUGGUCAAUAUUGAAGUUGGCUUCAUUUGAUUAUAAAACUGUUUUAUUUUUCGAGCAAUAUUCAAACCCUAAUCUGUCCAGAACUCAAGAAUCAUGGGUUUUUAGGCAACUAUAAAUAUUGAUUUUAAUAUGGAAGGCGUUGAUUCCACAAAAUGGCAACAGAGAAGAAGAUAAGAAAACUUCAACUAAGAAAACUUCAACGGAGAAGAAUUGUGUUAGGGUUUGUAAUUUCUUUCUUUGCGCAAAAGGUAUGUUACUCAUCCACAGUCAUUCAGUCAAUAACCUAUUUCUAUUUCUUUCUGGCUUUCACACGAUCUUAGAGGUUGUAAUUUUUGUUAGGGUUUGUAAUUUCUUUCUGGCUCACCGACUGGUAUGUCAUUUGGACUUUGACGUUGACAUGAAUUUCAAAACAAGAAUUAUUGGAUGGAAAGAGAGAAAGGCCUUUAAUAAUAUUAUGUAUAUAAUGAGUUUCUUGCAGAUUACUGAAAAACUAGGCUCCAAUGUUCCUGUCAUUACUAAUUAUUCCCGUAGAGUUAUUGGAAGGGAUGCGAUUUCUGAUGAAUUCAAAGAGGUUUACUUGUUUUAUAAUCAUAGAUCUUUUUUAUUUUAUAGUUUUAGUAGGUUUUAUUGCUAAGAAAGUAACGAAUCAAAUAACCUACAUAUUCAGUGGGAAGCUACUGAAGAUUCUGGUGCCAUAAUCAUGUUAAUGGUUGGAUAUCUACUUGUGUGCUUAAAUUGAUCUUAAUUUGAUGCUUUUGUGUACGAUAAUUGCUAUGCUUCGAGAUGUUUGUUUCUUGUUUACAUUUGUGUGCGUUUGGCCAGGCCAGUUGGUUUGUAUGAAGACUUUAUAUUUCAAAAAAGAGCUUAAUCGAAUCUGGUAUGUAUUGUAAUCAUAAGAUAGCGACAUCAUUUUGGUAAUCAUAACCUUUUUUAUUCUUUUUGGUAGGCUCACUUUGGUAAUUGAAGUUUCUUUUGUCCCCAUUUGUUUAUGUGCUCUUAAGGUGUUUUUGAUGCUACACCUAUGUACAACAACAGCGUAUUGGAGGACAUGUUUACGGAACAAUGUGCAGAAUUUAUUAAAACGGCAUUUACAGGAUGGAAGGCUUUACAGGAGGCUUUAGUUUUGCUUAAGAUCUUUUUUGUUCAGAUUAGACCGGCAGAUCUGUUGAAAUGAGUCAAUUAGGUUAGUUAGAUAAAGUGGAAGGUGAUGUUUUUGGUGUGAAGUGGAGUAUUAUUUGUGGAAAUUUUUGGUGUUGAUAUGGAUUUGAUGCUGAAAUUGUCGGGCGAUUGAUCCAUAAGGAACGGAGGAGUGCAAUGUUUUAUCUAGGGAGACAUUGUUGAGGGAGCAUUGAGAAUGCAAGGAUGGAGGGUCUUUGAUUUGGUGGGGGAAAUCGAUUCGGUGGCUGUGAACACCAUGGUUGCGGGGGUUUGUUCAUGUUUGGAACAAGCAGGUUAUAUAUGUACUUAUCGCUUUAAUAGUGACACAUAAGAUGGUUAUAUAUGUAACCACAGCAUAACCGUCUCUCUAUCUCUCUCCCACUAUAUUUAGUGAGCACUACGUACAAACGAUUUAUGCUUAUUUGCAGCCAUGGGAAAUAACAAACCGAAUCAAUAUUUGGAAUGCGAGUUGGCUCCUAAAUGCGAUAGAGUUGGGGUUGAUAACUUCAUUCGUGCAAAGCCAAGAAGAAUUUGAAGGUGAUGAGACCGAGAUAUAGUUGGUGUGCAAAAGCAAGUGAGUUGAGGCCCCUUCUAAUUUCUUAUUUGACAUACAUUACAAUUUUAAUAUAUACAAUUAAGGGUUCUGGAACAUUUUAGAUUUAUUAAAGCAAGAUAUGCUGACGAUUUAAAUUGUA